CCUACAGGCGGCUGCAGUGGGGAAUAUUGGACAAUGGGCGAAAGCCUGAUCCAGCCAUGCCGCGUGUGUGAAGAAGGCCUUCGGGUUGUACAGCACUUUCAGUGGGGAAGAAAGCCUUGGGGCUAAUACCCUCGAGGAAGGACAUCACCCACAGAAGAAGCACCGGCUAACUCCGUGCCAGCAGCCGCGGUAAUACGGAGGGUGCGAGCGUUAAUCGGAAUUACUGGGCGUAAAGCGCGCGUAGGCGGUCUGAUAAGCCGGUUGUGAAAGCCCCGGGCUCAACCUGGGAACGGCAUCCGGAACUGUCAGGCUAGAGUGCAGGAGAGGAAGGUAGAAUUCCCGGUGUAGCGGUGAAAUGCGUAGAGAUCGGGAGGAAUACCAGUGGCGAAGGCGGCCUUCUGGACUGACACUGACGCUGAGGUGCGAAAGCGUGGGUAGCAAACAGGAUUAGAUACCCGAGUAGUC
rnacentral:rRNA from 1 species